rnacentral:rRNA from 1 species
UACGUAGGGGGCAAGCGUUGUCCGGAAUCAUUGGGCGUAAAGAGCGUGUAGGCGGCUCGGUAAGUCCGCUGUGAAAGUCCAGGGCUCAACCCUGGAAUGCCGGUGGAAACUGUCGAGCUAGAGUCCGGAAGAGGCGAGUGGAAUUCCUGGUGUAGCGGUGAAAUGCGCAGAUAUCAGGAGGAACACCAAUGGCGAAGGCAGCUCGCUGGGACGGUACUGACGCUGAGGCGCGAAAGCGUGGGGAGCGAACAGG